rnacentral:rRNA from 1 species
UGAGGAAUAUUGGUCAAUGGCCGAGAGACUGAACCAGCCAAGUCGCGUGAAGGAUGACUGCCCUAUGGGUUGUAAACUUCUUUUACAAGGGAAUAAAAUGAGAUACGUGUAUUUUAUUGCAUGUACCUUGUGAAUAAGCAUCGGCUAACUCCGUGCCAGCAGCCGCGGUAAUACGGAGGAUGCGAGCGUUAUCCGGAUUUAUUGGGUUUAAAGGGUGCGUAGGUGGGCUGUUAAGUCAGCGGUGAAAGUUUGUCGCUUAACGAUAAAAUUGCCGUUGAAACUGGUAGUCUUGAGUAUAGAUGAAGUAGGCGGAAUGCGUGGUGGAGCGGUGAAAUGCAUAGAGAUCACGCAGAACUCCGAUUGCGAAGGCAGCUUACUAAGGUAUAACUGACACUGAAGCACGAAAGCGUGGGUAUCAAACAGG